GACGAACGCUGGCGGCGUGCUUAACACAUGCAAGUCGAACGGAAAGGCCCUGUUUUUCUGGGGUGUUCGGGUUGCGAACGGGUCAAUCAGACGAGUGACACCUGCCCUAGAUGCUCGCAUCUUUUCAGGAAACCUGGGCUAAUACCUCAUAUGCGCUCGAGCUCCGUGGUGGGGGUCGGAAAGUUUAGGCGGUUGGGGUUGGACUCGCGGCUGAUCGGCUUGCUGGUGGGGUUGUGGCUGACCUAGGCGCUGACUGGUAGUCGGCCGGAGAGUGGGACCGGCCACAUUGGGACUGCGCUACGGGCCAGCCGCCGACGGGAGGCAGGAGUGGUGAGUAUUGCACAGUGGGCGGGAGCCUGAGGCAGCGACGCCGCGUGCGGGAUGACGGCCUUCGGGUUGUAAACCGCUUGCGCCUGUGACGAAGCGUGAGUGACGGUAAUGGGAGAAGAAGCACCGGCUAACUACGUG
rnacentral:rRNA from 1 species